UACGAAGGGGGGCUAGCGUUGCUCGGAAUCACUGGGCGUAAAGGGUGCGUAGGCGGGUCUUUAAGUCAGGGGUGAAAUCCUGGAGCUCAACUCCAGAACUGCCUUUGAUACUGAGGAUCUUGAGUAUGGGAGAGGUGAGUGGAACUGCGAGUGUAGAGGUGAAAUUCGUAGAUAUUCGCAAGAACACCAGUGGCGAAGGCGGCUCACUGGCCCGAUACUGACGCUGAUGCACGAAAGCGUGGGGAGCAAACAGG
rnacentral:rRNA from 1 species